GGUUACUGCUAUCGGUGUUCGCCUAAGCCAUGCGAGUCAUAUGUUCGUAAGAACAUGGCGUACUGCUCAGUAACACGUGGAUAACCUGCCCUUGGGUCCGGCAUAACCCCGGGAAACUGGGGAUAAUUCCGGAUAACGCACAUAUGCUGGAAUGCUUUAUGCGUAAAAUGGAUUCGUCUGCCCAAAGAUGGGUCUGCGGCCUAUCAGGUAGUAGUGGGUGUAAUGUACCUACUAGCCUACGACGGGUACGGGUCGUGAGAGCAAGAGCCCGGAGAUGGAUUCUGAGACAUGAAUCCAGGCCCUACGGGGCGCAGCAGGCGCGAAAACUUUACAAUGCGGGAAACCGUGAUAAGGGGACACCGAGUGCCAGCAUCCUAUGCUGGCUGUCCGGGUGUGUAAAAUACACCUGUUAGCAAGGGCCGGGCAAGACCGGUGCCAGCCGCCGCGGUAACACCGGCGGCCCGAGUGGUGAUCGUGAUUAUUGGGUCUAAAGGGUCCGUAGCCGGUUUGGUCAGUCCUCCGGGAAAUCUGACAGCUUAACUGUUAGGCUUUCGGAGGAUACUGCCAGACUUGGAACCGGGAGAGGUAAGAGGUACUACAGGGGUAGGAGUGAAAUCUUGUAAUCCCUGUGGGACCACCUGUGGCGAAGGCGUCUUACCAGAACGGGUUCGACGGUGAGGGACGAAAGCUGGGGGCACGAACCGGAUUAGAUACCCGGGUAGUCCCAGCCGUAAACGAUGCUCGCUAGGUGUCAGGCAUGUAGCGACCGUGUCUGGUGCCGCAGGGAAGCCGUGAAGCGAGCCACCUGGGAAGUACGGCCGCAAGGCUGAAACUUAA
rnacentral:rRNA from 1 species